AACAUUCCCGGUGGAAUGGCCGGUCUUCAAAACCGGAGGGGGCCGCCAGCGGUCCCGGGCAGGUUCGACUCCUGUGAUCUUCC
rnacentral:tRNA from 1 species